UCUCUUCGGAGAAGAGCGGCGGACGGGUGAGUAACGCGUGGGUAACCUGCCCUGUACACACGGAUAACAUACCGAAAGGUAUGCUAAUACGAGAUAAUAUACUUUUAUCGCAUGGUAGAAGUAUCAAAGCUCCGGCGGUACAGGAUGGACCCGCGUCUGAUUAGCUAGUUGGUAAGGUAACGGCUUACCAAGGCGACGAUCAGUAGCCGACCUGAGAGGGUGAUCGGCCACAUUGGAACUGAGACACGGUCCAAACUCCUACGGGAGGCAGCAGUGGGGAAUAUUGCACAAUGGGCGAAAGCCUGAUGCAGCAACGCCGCGUGAGCGAUGAAGGCCUUCGGGUCGUAAAGCUCUGUCCUCAAGGAAGAUAAUGACGGUACUUGAGGAGGAAGCCCCGGCUAACUACGUGCCAGCAGCCGCGGUAAUACGUAGGGGGCUAGCGUUAUCCGGAAUUACUGGGCGUAAAGGGUGCGUAGGUGGUUUCUUAAGUCAGAGGUGAAAGGCUACGGCUCAACCGUAGUAAGCCUUUGAAACUGGGAAACUUGAGUGCAGGAGAGGAGAGUGGAAUUCCUAGUGUAGCGGUGAAAUGCGUAGAUAUUAGGAGGAACACCAGUUGCGAAGGCGGCUCUCUGGACUGUAACUGACACUGAGGCACGAAAGCGUGGGGAGCAAACAGGAUUAGAUACCCUGGUAGUCCACGCCGUAAACGAUGAGUACUAGCUGUCGGAGGUUACCCCCUUCGGCGGCGUAGCUAACGCAUUAAGUACUCCGCCUGGGAAGUACGCUCGCAAGAGUGAAACUCAAAUGAAUUGACGGAAGGG
rnacentral:rRNA from 1 species